rnacentral:piRNA from 1 species
UGAGUGCUCAGGUCCGAGCUGUGGUC